UUCUACAUAUGUUGAGCAGAAAAAUGUAUACUGUCUAAAGACACAGUACCAGAAAUCUGGAAUUUACUGGAGACAGAUAACUGUGGGAGCAAAAGUGUCAAUGUGGAACAUUUGCAUCCAUACACAUCACUGAAGACUAAGUUACAAUCAAUGGGGAGAAAUAAACUCUGUCAAAGUGUGAUUCGUUGAAGCUAAUGUAGAUACCUGCUUGAGAAAAGGAUAUAUUUUACCAUCCCAGUGCCUAUUUCUGUGCAGUAACUAUGGAGAAACCCAAAGGAGAAAAGAAAGAUAGGUGCAUAUCUUCUUAUUUUAUGGACUACAAGAGUGAAAGAAGAGCUUAGGUUUGUAAACUGUGUGUCCAUUCCCAUCCUUCAAGCAUUGCUCAGAAAUUAAGAGUUCAGAAAGGAAGCCACUGUUCCAUAUGUUCAUAAAGGAAGAAUGUAAUUUUGUCUGUUUUGGGUCAA